UCGUGGAAUGAUUUGUCUGGUUAAUUCCGUUAACGAACGAGACUUUAACUUGCUAGUUGGAAUACAUGCUGUUCUGCAUGAAUUCCUCUAGAAGGACCAUGUGUAUCUAACACAAGGAAGCGUGAAGCAAUAACA
rnacentral:rRNA from 1 species